GUGUUCACUUCAACAGCACAUAUACUAAAAUUGGAAUGAUACAGAGAAGAUUAGCAUGGCCACUAUGCAAGGAUGACAUGAAAAUUCAUGAAGUGUUCCACAUUUUU
rnacentral:snRNA from 1 species